rnacentral:lncRNA from 1 species
CUGAAAAACGUAUUGAUUUAGAUGACUUAACACCAUUCACUAACUACACUUUCAUAGCAGAUGCCAGGCCAUCUGUGAUAAAUGCCUCUUGGACCAAUCCAAUAGUAAAAUAUUGGAGAACAGAAACUGCCAUUCCUUAUCCAGUCAAAACAUCUUAUUUUCGAUAUUAUGAAUGGAGUUGUCCCCACCCAACAAACCAAAGAUGUAUCACAGUAUACUGGCAGAGUUUACCUGUGGAAUUCAGGAAUGAUAUUCUAACAGGAUACUGUGUCCAAUACAUUGAUGGAAGUUCAUCAACUAAUAACACUGAACAAUGCCUGGAUUCAAACAAUUUAAUAGUUGACUCUUU